ACCCCGUUGACGGAUUGAACGCUAACUGUGAGCGAGACACAGGCGGGGU
rnacentral:ncRNA from 1 species